ensembl:lncRNA
GUUUCCACGUGAGACCUCAGAACGACGCUAACAGCCCUGACACGUGGCUAACGGAUUCACUGUUAUGCAUAUGUGUCAAUAAAACAAAGUUAAUCCUAAAUUCAGUCAUGAGAAAAGAUAAAACGAAAGAAAGAAACAUUUGGAAGCAUUUCAUAAAUGCAGGCCUCGAUCAAUAUGGACCAAGAUGACGAUAAAGCCCCCGACUGACCUAAGGCUGCUAGCAUGCAUCGAAUUCAGGGAUAACAAGUGAUCUGCAAACACUAGAUUCCAUCCCGACGUUCCUCUCUUGGAUGUGUGACAACCACGAAGGCGACGACGCAGAAGGCAGUAGGUGUGCGCACUAAAAUGCGCAACCAACCCCCCCGACGAGAGGAACCUGGGGGUCCUUUAUCACCUUCCCGA